rfam:Triticum aestivum genome assembly, contig: Triticum_aestivum_CS42_TGACv1_scaffold_631175_7DS
AAAGUACUCCCUCCGUCCGGAAUUACUUGUCAUCAAAAUGGAUGUGUCUAGAACUAAAAUACAUCUAGAUACAUCCAUUUCAAUGACAAGUAUUUUCGGACGGAGGGAGUACAAG